CCUACGGGAGGCAGCAGUGGGGAAUAUUGGACAAUGGGCGCAAGCCUGAUCCAGCCAUACCGCGUGGGUGAAGAAGGCCUUCGGGUUGUAAAGCCCUUUUGUUGGGAAAGAAAAGCAUUCGGCUAAUACCCGGUUGUUCUGACGGUACCCAAAGAAUAAGCACCGGCUAACUUCGUGCCAGCAGCCGCGGUAAUA
rnacentral:rRNA from 1 species